AAUUAUCUGCAUAUGACUUGACCUGAAAGCAGAAUAAAACAAGCUCCAAAUGAUAAGAGAUAUAAUACAUAUAACUGUUUACAAGUACUUAAAGAAAUGGGAGUGUAGGCGCAGUUAAUAACAGUAUAUAAAGACUUGUCACUUUAGGCAUCAAGUCAACGAUCAGCCCAAGGAUCAAAGGUUCUUCAAGCACUUAGUACAAUUCCGUGAUUUUCAUAAUGACAUCACAGUUGGAUUUUACAUUUCAGAACAAUUUUCGCAAUGAAUUAGUAAUGGGAUUUUAGAUCUGUAAGAUGGGCCAUUAUGUUGGAGCAUAUAUUGUACCACCUUCAAUUAUUAUGCAACCAUCCUGUACCUUGAAUGGAAUUUCAGUAGCAUGGUCAAUUAGUACGAACCCAACAUAUUGAUAGACAACCUUGAUGGCAACCGGUAGGAUAUUAGCGAAAAUUAAACUACCCGAACCUGAAUCCUAUUAAUAUUAUCAAAGCCCAAACACGUCCCCAACACGUUUAAAAUUUAUUCUCAAUGGUCAAAACCCGAUUAUUAUUAUAAAAAAAAAAACCCGAACCUGUUUAAUUUUAUAUAUUUUAAUUAA
rnacentral:misc_RNA from 1 species